GUAACAUCAAAUCGUACCCCAAACCGACACAGGUGGUCAGGUAGAGAAUACCAAGGCGCUUGAGAGAACUCGGGUGAAGGAACUAGGCAAAAUGGUGCCGUAACUUCGGGAGAAGGCACGCUGAUAUGUAGGUGAAGCGACUUGCUCGUGGAGCUGAAAUCAGUCGAAGAUACCAGCUGGCUGCAACUGUUUAUUAAAAACACAGCACUGUGCAAACACGAAAGUGGACGUAUACGGUGUGACGCCUGCCCGGUGCCGGAAGGUUAAUUGAUGGGGUCAGCGCAAGCGAAGCUCUUGAUCGAAGCCCCGGUAAACGGCGGCCGUAACUAUAACGGUCCUAAGGUAGCGAAAUUCCUUGUCGGGUAAGUUCCGACCUGCACGAAUGGCGUAAUGAUGGCCAGGCUGUCUCCACCCGAGACUCAGUGAAAUUGAACUCGCUGUGAAGAUGCAGUGUACCCGCGGCAAGACGGAAAGACCCCGUGAACCUUUACUAUAGCUUGACACUGAACACUGGUCCUUGAUGUGUAGGAUAGGUGGGAGGCUUUGAAGUGUGGACGCCAGUCUGCAUGGAGCCGUCCUUGAAAUACCACCCUUUAAUGGCUGGUGUUCUAACGUUGGCCCGUAAUCCGGGUUGCGGACAGUGUCUGGUGGGUAGUUUGACUGGGGCGGUCUCCUCCUAAAGAGUAACGGAGGAGCACGAAGGUUGGCUAAUCCUGGUCGGACAUCAGGAGGUUAGUGCAAUGGCAUAAGCCAGCUUGACUGCGAGCGUGACGGCGCGAGCAGGUGCGAAAGCAGGUCAUAGUGAUCCGGUGGUUCUGAAUGGAAGGGCCAUCGCUCAACGGAUAAAAGGUACUCCGGGGAUAACAGGCUGAUACCGCCCAAGAGUUCAUAUCGACGGCGGUGUUUGGCACCUCGAUGUCGGCUCAUCACAUCCUGGGGCUGAAGUAGGUCCCAAGGGUAUGGCUGUUCGCCAUUUAAAGUGGUACGCGAGCUGGGUUUAGAACGUCGUGAGACAGUUCGGUCCCUAUCUGCCGUGGGCGCUGGAGAACUGAGGGGGGCUGCUCCUAGUACGAGAGGACCGGAGUGGACGCAUCACUGGUGUUCGGGUUGUCAUGCCAAUGGCACUGCCCGGUAGCUAAAUGCGGAAGAGAUAAGUGCUGAAAGCAUCUAAGCACGAAACUUGCCCCGAGAUGAGUUCUCCCUGAGACUUUAAGUCUCCUGAAGGAACGUUGAAGACGACGACGUUGAUAGGCCGGGUGUGUAAGCGCAGCGAUGCGUUGAGCUAACCGGUACUAAUGAACCGUGAGG
rnacentral:rRNA from 1 species